UACGGAGGAUCCAAGCGUUAUCCGGAUUUAUUGGGUUUAAAGGGUGCGUAGGCGGCCUGUUAAGUCAGGGGUGAAAGACGGUAGCUCAACUAUCGCAGUGCCCUUGAUACUGAUGGGCUUGAAUGUACUAGAGGUAGGCGGAAUGUGACAAGUAGCGGUGAAAAUGCAUAGAUAUGUCACAGAACACCAAUUGCGAAGGCAGCUUACUAUGGUAUGAUUGACGCUGAGGCACGAAAAGCGUGGGGGAUCAAAACAGG
rnacentral:rRNA from 1 species